ACUACACGAAAUGUCUUCAAUGUCAACAUUAAUUGUCGUAACGAUGCUUAAUUUUACAUACGAUAAUUACUAUGUACGCAUUGUGUACCUAUACAGUGAUAUAGUUAGUUAUACCUAAGUAGUUAACUUUUACGUAAAUUUGAAAUGAUCACGUUUUGAUGCUCAUGGAUUUGGAUUUGGAGCAGGAAAAUAAGUACGCCAGACCAUUUAGUGGGACCUUUCACCUUGCCCGGCGCCUUCAAUGCUUAAAAUGAUCUAAAACGUCGACAUUUGAUGAAAAAAACCAAAACCAAAAAACGGUGACCGCAAUAGCCACCUAGCUAGCGCUAUAGGAAGCUACUAUAGGAAGCUAAAAAGCGUGCGAGGACGUUAAACGGUGAGGAGCGUUCUUUGGUCUGAGCUAGGAAGCUUUUCUAUCAAGAAUUUAGCACAUUUUUAUUAUUCUUUUUAAAAAGAGGGAAUUUCUUGUAAAAUGGUAUGUUAUUAUAAAAGUGACUUUUUGGUACGAGCAACAUCUUUUAAAGAAUCUUUUUUAUGAGUAGGUGGUUAACUGAUCGGAUUUGAAAAAUAAAAACAAUUCUGAAAACAUAAUGAACAUUCCUUUCGACCUAUCAAACAACAUUUACUACCUCUUCCCAUUUAAAAUUUUUGGGGUGCAAUUCAUCCUCUUCUCAGGGUUAAAGUUAUGUUAUCGAUUUCGAAGCUCACUUCAUCAUCAGACCUUGCGUCAUUUAAAUGCUGAAUGAAAAUGGGUACAUCUGUAUGAAGGAUCGUAUGAGUUACAUUAUAAACUGAUGGUAGGUGUCAAAGUAUACAAAGUUGGAAAUUAUUAAGGACGAGAUCUACGUUCCUGGCAGAACUGUCGUUAAGUGGGCAAAAUUGGCAUUGACUGUUUUCAGUGGGCCACCCUGUAAUUACUAAUAAGGUUAUAGUUUAAACUGUGUAGGUAUCUAUUUGUCUUGCUAUACACGGUUAUUCUAUCUUUUCUGAGUUUUUUUAUGUUAAUUUAAUUUUAUUUUAGGAUUUACUAUUAUUAUUUAUUACUCUGGAUAAUUAUUGCUACUUUUGAUAAUGUUUGCUAUUUUUGUUUUUUUUUCUCAUCGUUUAUUAUGGUACCUAGCUAUGUCAUUUUUCUACAUUGUCUUAGAAUUGGCGUGUUUUGCUGUUAGAUAAUAAAUUAAUUAUUAUUAUUAUUAA